UGGGGAAUAUUGCACAAUGGGCGCAAGCCUGAUGCAGCCAUGCCGCGUGUGUGAAGAAGGCCUUCGGGUUGUAAAGCACUUUCAGCGGGGAGGAAGGCGAUAAGGUUAAUAACCUUGUCGAUUGACGUUACCCGCAGAAGAAGCACCGGCUAACUCCGUGCCAGCAGCCGCGGUAAUACGGAGGGUGCAAGCGUUAAUCGGAAUUACUGGGCGUAAAGCGCACGCAGGCGGUCUGUCAAGUCGGAUGUGAAAUCCCCGGGCUCAACCUGGGAACUGCAUUCGAAACUGGCAGGCUAGAGUCUUGUAGAGGGUGGUAGAAUUCCAGGUGUAGCGGUGAAAUGCGUAGAGAUCUGGAGGAAUACCGGUGGCGAAGGCGGCCCCCUGGACAAAGACUGACGCUCAGGUGCGAAAGCGUGGGGAGCAAACAGG
rnacentral:rRNA from 1 species